CCCACCAUUUUCCCAGCAGGCCUUGCCGCAGGCCUCGCCCGCAGCGGUAGGGGCGGGGCGGUGGGGUCCUCCCUCGCACCCCAGUCCCGGUCCACUGCCCACCCCUUCCCCGACCUGGACUUCUCCGGGCCGUGUGCUCCUAGUCGUCCUCUCCUCGAGGUGCCCCGCUGUGACCUGCAGACCUGCAGACAGACGCAAGACAGGGAAAAAGUAUAGAUGAAUGAGCAAAGAAAAGAAAAAGAAUCACACACAGGGGAGCCCUAGGAUGCCUCUACAUAGCAUGGAGGACCCAGAGGGGACGGCAGUGCCCACUGACCUGGUUACACCUCGGGAAGACAUCGGGAUGGGCACAGCAGCAGAGGAUUGGCAUAUAGGUAUCUACCCAUGGUUCCUCUGGUGAUUGGACUCAUUUUUGAGUACAAGGGAGACCUAUCCUUGGCCACCAUGCAGGAAUAACCAUUGCCUACUUUUCAAUGUACAUACUUUCAGAGUUUUCUCUGUGCACAAAUGCAUUAUGCAAACAUUUUCAUUUUUAUAAAAAUGGGCUGAUACUGUA